rnacentral:lncRNA from 1 species
UAUGCAGCGGCCCUUUGACAUUUGGGCCCGCAAAGGAUGUGGUCCCAAAACCAUUCGACGACAUUGAGGCAUUCGAAGAAUUUGAUGCCGAAAUAUCAACAAAUGAAGGAACAGGGACACGCCUGGUCCGAUAUUUUUUCUUUUCUUUACCUGCUGUAUCAAAUGUACUUGCAUAUAUGAAACUGACAUUCCAGUGCACGUUUCACAGGAAUAGGGGUGCAGAGCAAAACGUAACACGGACACUAGGAGGCACAUAAAAAAGACAAAACAUCGCGCUACUAGCAACAAUGAUUAUUCUCAAAACCAGACUGCUUCUAUAUCAUCAGCAUCAAGCAGACAUAGAUCACGUGGAAGCACUGAGACAUGCGCUAUGAAAGUCGCACCAUCGAAAUUGUCAUUGCUUACGCCGGAAAGCUAACUCCUUGGGAAAUAACGCUAUUGAUGGCUUGUUAAUGCAAAAUUCACCAAGUAUGUCGAUAUGCUCUGCCUCAACAAUCAAUAGGGUGAUCUCUUUAUAUCGAGCAACAAUUAUAGCGAAAACACGAUUAUUGUUGGCCAGAUUGAUUGCUGAGGCCGAGCAUAUCGACGUACUUAGUGUAUUUUGCAUUAGCAAGUCAUCAAUAGUGUUGUUUCCCAAGGAGUUAGACUUCCUGCAUAAGCGGUGACAAUUUGUUCUGGUAGAUUAUCGUGGGUCGUGAAUAUGGUUCGAUAGUGCGACGUUCAUAGUGCAUGUCUCAGUGCUUCCACGUGAUCUAGGUAUGCUUGCCACUGAUGGUAUAUAAGCGGUCUGGUUUUGAGAAUAGGUUGUUGCUAAUAGCACUAUGUGUUAUCUUUUUAUGUGCCUCCUAGUGUCCAUGUUACAUUUAGCGCUGCAUCAAAAGUAUUCCUGAUGAUUCACCAACAAGCCCCCCCCCCAUCACUACCCAUGUUUUACAGAUGCAGCAAUUUCAUGGUCUUGGCGGCAGCAGCAUAGGACCCGCAACACGGCGCAUUUUAGAAAUUUUGCUAAGCCAAGAAGUGGCUGUGCAGUACAGUCGACUUGGCAAAAAAGGAAAAAAGUUUUUCUGCACUGCAAGUGGCUGACACAAUCACAAGGGCUGUAAUGCAAAAUUUUCCUACAUCAAAAAGAAGUGAUGUCGAGAGUGUAAUAAAGGUGUGGCUGCGCCACUCUGGCGAAAAACUGCGAAAACAGCAGGCCAAGGCUGCCACAUCUGAAGGCUCACUGGAUGCGCACUCAAAUUACUCGGAUUAAAUGCCUCAAAGUUCAAGUACAGAGCCCAAUUUCAAGAGGAAUCAAUUUCUUCAAUAAUUAUUGCUGGCCUUGGCAAGGACCAGCACAGUCAUUCAUAAUAUUCUAGUCAGGAAACUGCACAUGGUUGAAGAAAUGUUGGCUUUGGCA